rnacentral:rRNA from 1 species
AUUAAGCCAUGCGAGUUAAAUGUUCUUCGUGAACAUAGCAGACUGCUCAGUAACACGUGGAUAACCUGCCCUUAGGACUGGCAUAACCCCGGGAAACUGGGGAUAAUUCCGGAUAGAUCAUAAAUGCUGGAAUGCUUUAUGAUUGAAAGGUUUCGACCGCCUUAGGAUGGAUCUGCGGCCUAUCAGGUUGUAGUGGGUGUAAUGUACCUACUAGCCUACGACGGGUACGGGUUGUGGAAGCAAGAGCCCGGAGAUGGAUUCUGAGACAUGAAUCCAGGCCCUACGGGGCGCAGCAGGCGCGAAAACUUUACAAUGCGGGAAACCGUGAUAAGGGAACACUGAGUGCUAGCAUUUAUGUUAGCUGUCCACAUGUGUAAAUAGCAUGUGAUAGCAAGGGCUGGGCAAGACCGGUGCCAGCCGCCGCGGUAACACCGGCAGCCCGAGUGGUGAUCACUAUUAUUGGGUCUAAAGGGUCCGUAGCCGGUUUAAUCAGUCUUCUGGGAAAUCUAAUCGCUUAACUAUUAGGCUUCCAGGGGAUACUGUUAGACUUGGGACCGGGAGAGGUAAGAGGUACUGCAGGGGUAGGAGUGAAAUCUUGUAAUCCCUGUGAGACCACCAGUGGC